UAGGAUAAUAGUUAAAUUAACAUUUAACUUGCAAUUAAAAAAUAUUGAAAUUUCAAUUUAUCUU
rnacentral:tRNA from 1 species